rnacentral:sRNA from 1 species
GAGGUUCCGGUUCUGUGGUGAUCUGGACUGUCCCGACUGGGUCCUGGCAGAAAUCAGCACGCUGGCCAAGAUGGUUAAGUGCACAGGGUCUACACUGGGUGGAGGAGGGGUGUUGGGCUGGGGAUUGUGGCUGUAGAGGAUGGUGAGGUUUCUCUGGGGCUAGGGCCUCAGUGCUCUCAGCCUGUGCUGCCAUGCUUUGUGACCUUGAUCAGUGGCUGGCCUGCUCUGAGCCUGUCCCCAGGAAGGAGGGGUGAGGUUUGCCAGCCUGGCUGAUGUAAGGACUUCCCUUCCAGUCCUCUGUGAAGUUGCGGCUGCUCUGCAGCCAGGUACUAAAGGAGCUGCUGGGACAGGGGAUUGAUGUGAGUACAAGAUCCAGCACCCCAUUGUCCCAUGACCUUAUGACCACCACUGCCCUGAAACUCUGCACUAGGCCCGGGGAGACGGGUGAGCCAGCCUCUCAACCUCUCUGGGCACCUCCCUUCCUUCUUUCCAGCCUGUCUGUUCCUUAUCGCAGGAUCCAGGCUGGGGGUGAGGGGCUGGUGAGCAAGGGCCUGGCACCCCCUGAAGGUCUCCUUUCCCCAUAGUAUGAGAAGAUCCUGAAGCUCACGGCUGACGCCAAGUUUGAGUCAGGCGAUGUGAAGGCCACAGUGGCAGUGCUGAGUUUCAUCCUCUCCAGUGCGGCCAAGCACAGUGUCGAUGGCGAAUCCUUGUCCAGUGAACUGCAGCAGCUGGGGCUGCCCAAAGGUACGGGUUGUGGGUUGGCAGCUGGGCAGCCUGUCGGCCAAGGGCUGCUAGAGAGGGGACAGGCCCUGAGGUGUACCCUGCCCUGUUUGGGCCAGGAGCCCAAGCCCAGCCCCCACCUGCUACCUCCAGAGCUUCUCCAUUCUACCCCCAGAGCACGCGGCCAGCCUGUGCCGCUGUUAUGAGGAGAAGCAAAGCCCCUUGCAGAAGCACUUGCGGGUCUGCAGCCUACGCAGUAAGUAUGAGGCCAGCCAGGGUCCGGGCUCAUUCUAGAAGGUGCACGCAGCACGCAAAGUGCAUGGAGAGUCCAGGGAGACGACUUAACCACGGUCACAUGGUUACUAGCAGCCGUAGAGCUGGGACCUGGCCCUGGGUCUCCUGACUCCCCCCAAGGUUUCUUGUCACUGAGGUCUGCUGUGGGUGAUGCGAACUGAUUAUCGGGCACCUGCCCUGUUCUGAGCCUGGGUCAGCAGGAUGGGAGCUUCUUAGAGGCCACAUAGCCUUGAAUGGUUGAGAGCUGAGCCAGGGUGUCGGCUGAGGUCUACUUGGCUUGCCUGCUUUGAUCCUGAGAGCCACCCACCCCAUCUCACAGUGAAUAGGUUGGCAGGUGUGGGCUGGCGGGUGGACUACACCCUGAGCUCCAGCCUGCUGCAAUCCGUGGAAGAGCCCAUGGUGCACCUGCGGCUGGAGGUGGCAGCUGCCCCAGGGACCCCAGCCCAGCCUGUUGCCAUGUCCCUCUCAGCAGACAAGUUCCAGAUCCUCCUGGCAGAACUGAAGCAGGCCCAGACCCUGAUGAGCUCCCUGGGCUGAGGAGAAGGGUGUUCCAGGCCUGUGUGGAGCCGCCCUGCCCAUAUGGAGUCACGCCCUCUGAACUGCUCUUCGGGAGGCAGCCCUGGUUCUAGGAUGCUGAGGCCCUGGCCC